UACGUAGGGCGCAAGCGUUGCCCGGAAUUAUUGGGCGUAAAGAGCUUGUAGGCGGUUUGUCGCGUCUGCUGUGAAAUUUCGGGGCUCAACCCCGAACUUGCAGUGGGUACGGGCAGGCUAGAGUGUGGUAGGGGAGACUGGAAUUCCUGGUGUAGCGGUGAAAUGCGCAGAUAUCAGGAGGAACACCGAUGGCGAAGGCAGGUCUCUGGGCCACUACUGACGCUGAGAAGCGAAAGCAUGGGGAGCGAACAGG
rnacentral:rRNA from 1 species